UGAGGAAUAUUGGUCAAUGGAGGCAACUCUGAACCAGCCAUGCCGCGUGAAGGAUGAAGGCCCUAUGGGUUGUAAACUUCUUUUAUUGGGGAAGAAACCUUUCUACGUGUAGAGAGCUGACGGUACCCAAGGAAUAAGGACCGGCUAACUCCGUGCCAGCAGCCGCGGUAAUACGGAGGGUCCGAGCGUUAUCCGGAAUCAUUGGGUUUAAAGGGUGCGCAGGCGGUAAAGUAAGUCAGUGGUGAAAUCCCUUCGCUCAACGAAGGAACUGCCAUUGAUACUGCUAUACUUGAAUAUAGUCGAAGUGGGCGGAAUGUGACAUGUAGCGGUGAAAUGCUUAGAUAUGUCACAGAACACCGAUAGCGAAGGCAGCUCACUAGACUAACAUUGACGCUCAUGCACGAAAGCGUGGGGAGCGAACAGG
rnacentral:rRNA from 1 species